AGAGCCCACAGCUAAGACUCCUCUGGCAUGAGAAUGACUUCCUCCUCCAAUGCAAAUGUCACAAAGAGGCUCUGAUCCACUCCUAAUCGCUAAUGGAAGCAGAACCAUCCAGCUCCUACAGAACACAACCUCCCACCACCUCUGAUGAGACUUCAUCUUCUUUGAAUGACGAUGGUGCAGCUGGAGAUUAUGAAGAGUAUGUACCACUUGUUUGUCAGCCGUCUUCAAGGGGUGGAAGAGCCCCAAUCACAAAAAGAAAGACAAGCACGCCCWAAACAGCAAGAAAACGACAGAAAGUAAGCACCUCAACCCACCAACAUGAACACCAGGAUAUUUGGCACAAUGCAGAUGAACCYGAUAUGGAGCCAAAAUGUCCAACAUUUUCACCAAAGAGACCUCCAGGACCACAGAUUGACACCACACAAACCUGGUCACCCCUGAGCUUGUUCAAGCUUUUCUUUAGUGCAGUCACCAUUCGGCAGAUCAUGUACAACACAAACAAAAAUGCUGAAAGUUUAGGUGCAGCUGAGAAAAAAUUCAAAUGGUCACCUUUGACAGUGGAAGAUUCCUACCAAUUUUUAGCCAUCAUUAUUUUCACAGGAUUGGUACAAGUCCCUUCAAAACCAGACUUUUGGAGAACAAAGGGGCCGUAUAAUUUCCCCUUUCCAUGCCAAUGCAUGACCCGUGACAGAUUCGACUCCAUCUUUUGGUCCCUUCACCUGUCCAACAUAAAAGACGAUGCAGAAAAUGAGAAGAAAAAAAAAGGGAACACCUCAGUAUGAUUGGCUAUUCAAAGUUAGACAGCUAUAUGAUGAGAUCAGACUUGCCUGCAAGUCUGUGUUUCAACCAAGCAGAGAAAUAUACAUUGACAAACGGAUGGUGGCCAGUAAAGCUCGAACUGACUUCAAACAAUUUAUGAAGGACAAGCCUACCAGGUUUGGAUAUAAACUAUAUGUUUUGGCCGAUUCCAGGACUGGGUAUACUUGGAAUUUUUUCAUCUACAAGGGAAAGUCCAGCAUUGUUUGAGAAGAAGGCUCAGCACCACAUGUGUCAUGGACYUCAUGGAUUUUGGACUUUUAGGAAAGGCUAUCAUUUAUAUGUGGACAAUUUCUAUAGUAGUCCUUACUUAUUUCAAAAACUGGUUUCCAACAACACUGCUGUAUGUGGCACCAUCUGCCAAAAUUCCGUGGGAUUCCCCAAAACRACUCAUAACAACCUUCCAAGAUCUACACAGAGGGGAGAGAUGAGGUGGAUACGCAAAGACGGACUACUAUUUAUCAAGUGGAAGGACACCAAGGAGGUGACAAUCUGCAGUACCUUUCACAGAGUUUACAGUGAAGAAAUUGUAUGGAGGAGAGUCAAAGGGGCAGGGCRAGGGGUAGUGAAAGAUGUUACCAUGCCUGACUCUGUGAAAUACUACAAUAAAUUAAUGGGAGGAGUCGACUUGUCCGAUGCCCUGAUCCAGUACUAUUYAGUCAGAAGCAAGACCAUGAAGUGGUAUAAGACUUUAUUUUACCAUUUCAUUGAAAUUUCUGUUGUAAAUAGUUUCAUCCUUUUCAAAAUGCUGGCCAUCAAAAGAGGGGAAAUACCCAUUUCCCAGGGAAAAUUCCGGGAGAAACUUACGAAGGAGCUGAUAUAGGAGUCUAAAGCAGCUGCAGCUUUUCCUCAACCAAGCACAUCAGCUUCUGCUCAACCCAGGCCAUUCAUAGAAUGCACCAUGCCCAGAUACUUUGGAGGAACAGCAGGGUGUGUGCGUGGUGCAAUCCUGUUUGCACCACACACAGGAUUUGUGUGUGGUGCAAACAGAAUGGCAGUACCAAGAAAACGCUGCUGUAUUAUCCCAAAUGUGAAGUGGCCCUCYGUCUUCAGUCAGACAGAAAUUGUUUUGAGGACUACCACAAAACUUGUAGGUUGUGCUUUUUUGUGUGUUGAACUUGUUAAUUUUUUUGGUGGUGGUUUUUCAAAAUUGUUUGUUCUUUGAAACUAUUAUUGCUAUUYUUUUGUACAUAGUUUUGUUUUAAAAUGUAUUAUUAUUUGUUACCUGUACUUCAAAAAGAUUUUUUUACUGGUUUACUGUGUUUCAAAAGAGUUAGGGUCAAACUGGGGUUAGGGUCUGUCAAACUUUUUCUAUCCAAGGAAAACCAGGGACAAUUGCUGCAGUAAUCUCGUUCCCUAGAAAACGUAUAUGGGKAAAAUGAAUUUUUGGAAGCUUUAUGCCUCAACUUUACUGGAAUCCUUAAUAUGAAGAAUGCAUGUGGAAACAGUAGAAACUAAAAGUAAAUUUUAUGAGGAGUAAACCCUCAGUAGAACCUGUCUGGCUCACGUGGUCAUUCAAGGGGAGAUGUACUCAGUGUGUGGUUGAAUGUGAAUGUGUGAAUCACUGUAGUAUGAAACASUUCGGGGUCCUCCAGACUUCAUAAAAUAAAGUUAUCCAAGUAAAGACCAUUUACUCCAUUUAUUUUCUAUCUUACUGAAACAAUUAGUCUUUGGGA